UACGUAGGGUGCAAGCGUUAUCCGGAAUUAUUGGGCGUAAAGAGCUCGUAGGCGGUCUGUUGCGUCUGCUGUGAAAACCCGGGGCUUAACCCCUGGCUUGCAGUGGAUACGGACAGACUAGAGGUAGGUAGGGGGAGAAUGGAAUUCCUGGUGUAGCGGUGGAAUGCGCAGAUAUCAGGAGGAACACCGGUGGCGAAGGCGGGUCACUGGGCC
rnacentral:rRNA from 1 species